rnacentral:rRNA from 1 species
GAACGCUGGCGGCGUGCCUAAUACAUGCAGGUCGAGCGAACAGACGAGGAGCUUGCUCCUCUGACGUUAGCGGCGGACGGGUGAGUAACACGUGGAUAACCUACCUAUAAGACUGGGAUAACUUCGGGAAACCGGAGCUAAUACCGGAUAAUAUAUUGAACCGCAUGGUUCAAUAGUGAAAGACGGUUUUGCUGUCACUUAUAGAUGGAUCCGCGCCGCAUUAGCUAGUUGGUAAGGUAACGGCUUACCAAGGCGACGAUGCGUAGCCGACCUGAGAGGGUGAUCGGCCACACUGGAACUGAGACACGGUCCAGACUCCUACGGGAGGCAGCAGUAGGGAAUCUUCCGCAAUGGGCGAAAGCCUGACGGAGCAACGCCGCGUGAGUGAUGAAGGUCUUCGGAUCGUAAAACUCUGUUAUUAGGGAAGAACAAAUGUGUAAGUAACUAUGCACGUCUUGACGGUACCUAAUCAGAAAGCCACGGCUAACUACGUG